rnacentral:lncRNA from 1 species
AUGACUUUUGAUACCAAUGAAGGACUAGAGAAAAUUGAUGAAAUAACCGCCAGCUUGCAGAACACUUCUGGAGAAACUACACUUGUUACUCAGGGUUUUGUCACAAUAACAGCACCAGACUAUACAGUGAAAUUUAAUACAUCGCAGAAUCUUAGCUGUCAAACAAGUCAACCCAUAGGGCAAUUUACAUGGUUCUUGGUCUCCUCGAAAGACGAAAACAAAAUUGAAAUCCAUGGAGGGACAGAGGUGAAAUUCAUUGAUAAGCCACCCAACACUCAAAUUCGACUUGAAUACACCUCAUAUAUCUGGAGAGGUAAAUACAUAUGUGAAUUUCAGCAGAAAUCAGUGAAACACCAAGCUCAUGCCUUUUUAGAUGUAGCCCUCUUGCCAGUAAUAGAUAUAUACACCAAACCUCAGUUUCCCAACUGCAAGGAAGCAGAUGAGGUAAAUGUAAAGGUGACUUGUGCCAUUACAAAUACCACUGAACCAUAUACAGUUACCUGGGAAGAUCCUGACUUCAUCCCUGAAGAUAUCAAGUAUGAACGUGGUGAUCGGUUGUACCGCAUACGAAAAACCAUAAAAUGUAAAGAAGAAAAUUACGAGGUUUCAUGUAAUUUCACAAACAGGCUUAAUCAAUCUCAGCUUCAGAAAGUCACUAUUCCUGUCAUCAAAACGAACUCACCCGUGUGCAACAAGGAUGGAGACUGGCCACAGGCCAAGGCUGGUCACACGGCCACACUGCAAUGUGAGGGUGAUCAAAGAGGGGAGAGGACAAGGAAAUGUUCGAAAGACAAAACCUGGGCAACUGAGAUUAAUAAGUGUGUAAACAUUGACCUGCAGGACAUAGCUGGAAAGGCUGAGGAGUGCAGCAUUGGUCAGUCCGUAUUUACAGACUCAUGCAUGGACUAAGAAAGGUAACGUGUGACUAAAUAAUGUGCAUCACUGCUGGCAGACUUCUCUGUUUCAUAGAUGCGAUGUAUUCACACAUGUCAAUCUGUGAAGUUUCCUGUAUAGUUAAAGCCUCAAAGCGCUUAAAAACGUCAUAGAGUAGCUUGCAAAACUAUUUUACCAGGCUGGCUGUGAAAUAACAAGAAAUGAAGACUAAAUAGCUAAGGUGAUUCAAAUUCUUAAGUGAGAAAAAACUUAAGUAACGAUCCAUAAGAAGAAAGUGCAAGAUGCAUCACACCGCCCUGUAGAAAAAGCUGUCCCCCAAACCAAGAAUCUGAGGAAGAUAUUAAGGGAGGCCACCGCAGUCCAGCCAUCACCCUGAAAAAUAAAAAGAAACUGGUGGCUGGAAUUGGGGUGCA